UAAGGAAUAUUGCACAAUGGGCGAAAGCCUGAUGCAGCAACGCCGCGUGGGUGAAGAAGGCCUUCGGGUCGUAAAACCCUUUUCUGGGGGAAGAGGAAGGACGGUACCCCAGGAAUAAGCACCGGCUGACUACGUGCCAGCAGCCGCGGUAAUACGUAGGGUGCGAGCGUUAUCCGGAUUUACUGGGCGUAAAGUGCGCGCAGGCGGUGUCGUAAGUUGGACGUGAAAUCUUUCGGCUUAACCGGGAGGGGCCGUUCAAUACUGCGGCACUAGAGGGCAGAAGAGGGGAGUGGAAUUCCCGGUGUAGGGGUAAAAUCCUUAGAGAUCGGGAGGAACACCAGUGGCGAAGGCGGCUCCCUGGUCUGUUCCUGACGCUGAGGCGCGAAAGCGUGGGGAGCGAACGGG
rnacentral:rRNA from 1 species